UGCCCGGAAGCUGUUGAUAUGCAAGAGAUCUGUGAAAAAAAGAUAAGAUGAGUCUCAGGGUCUCACGUAGAGGAAAAUCAAAAUAUCAAAGCAAAAGUGGUUUAAAAAUUAAUAAAAAGUUAUUAUAAGUCAUCAACUUUUGCAACGCUUCAAAUUUAUAUUCUCGAUGUGUGGCGCCACAUUUUGUGUUAAUCCCUCCCUACAAUACAUCACAAAUCACCACAAAAAAUGUUACCCCACGCCCAUGGCAGUAUGACGCAUUUUUUAAACAGCCUCAUAGUUAACACCACCCAUGGUACUUCGUAAAGAUGUUUACACGAUUGUGCUGAUAUUUAUGAUUACGUCGGCAUUUUUAGGUAAUAAAUAAGUCACUUUUGGGUUCUCUGAUUUGUGCAUUAAGCAUAAAUAUACAAGAUUGGAGAAAGCGAUUAACAAAAUACAAAUACCUCUGGGAAACAUCCGUCACUUCUCCAAUCAACCUUACUGAAGAACAACAUUGCCAGUGAUAUAGCAAUAUUUAUUAGAAUAUUCAUCAGUUACACUGUUCAGGAAAUUUUCCAUUUGCUAAUUACCAUUAUUUAGAGAAGAUGAAGAUCAUCGCCCUGUUUUUUACCUUAGCGGUUUUGUUCAACACUAUUGAAUUUAGUUCACAGGCCUGCUGGGGCAAACGAACGAGAAUAUCUCCAGAGCCUACGAUUCGUCACAUUUACUAUUACCAAGAUGAACAUGGUGAUCUUCAAUCAAUAAUAGGAAAUGUUGAAGUAGAGAUAGAUAAUUUUGGAAUUAUCAAUGGAGUAGUCGUUAAAAACGCGCUUCGUCCAAUAUUUGAUAAAAGAUACCAAAGGAUUGGAAUAAAUUUACGUGAAAACAAAAGUUAUCCACUGAACGACCGUAUAGCUGAUGGUCUUAAUUUCGGAGG